AGGGGCUUCCAGACCAAGCUGCUUCGUGAGGAUGCCAGCCACAGCAUGUAUGUUCAUGGAUGUACAGAAGUGGAAGUUACCACUCCAGAAGAAGCCUUGGAGGUAAUGGUUAAGGGCCAGAGGCGCCGGAAGGUAGCCACCACACACAUUAACUUUGAGUCAUCACGUUCACACUCCAUCUUCUCUGUGAGAGUUGUUCAAAUCCCACUGGAUGCCUUUGGUGAGG